GAUGAACGCUAGCGGCAGGCUUAAUACAUGCAAGUCGUGGGGCAGCAUGAGUGUAGCAAUACAUUUGAUGGCGACCGGCAAACGGGUGCGGAACACGUACACAACCUUCCUAUAAGUGGGGAAUAGCCCAGAGAAAUUUGGAUUAAUACCCCGUAACAUAACGAUGUGGCAUCACAUUGUUAUUAUAGCUUCGGCGCUUAUUGAUGGGUGUGCGGCUGAUUAGAUAGUUGGCGGGGUAACGGCCCACCAAGUCUACGAUCAGUAGCUGAUGUGAGAGCAUGAUCAGCCACACGGGCACUGAGACACGGGACCGACUCCUACGGGAGGCAGCAGUAAGGAAUAUUGGUCAAUGGACGCAAGUCUGAACCAGCCAUGCCGCGUGAAGGAUUAAGGUCCUCUGGAUUGUAAACUUCUUUUAUCUGGGACGAAAAAAGGCUUUUCUAAGUCACUUGACGGUACCAGAUGAAUAAGCACCGGCUAACUCCGUGCCAGCCGCCGCGGUAA
rnacentral:rRNA from 1 species